CCUACGGGAGGCAGCAGUAGGGAAUUUUCGGCAAUGGGGGGAACCCUGACCGAGCAACGCAGCGUGAACGAAGAAGUUAUUCGUAAUGUAAAGUUCUUUUAACAGGGAAGAAAGAGAAAUUUGACGGUACCUGAAGAAUAAGCUCCGGCUAACUACGUGCCAGCAGCCGCGGUAAUACGUAGGGAGCGAGCGUUAUCCGGAAUUAUUGGGCGAAAGGGGUGCGUAGAUGGCAUAGUAAGUCUUUUGUAAAAAUGCUGGGCUCAACCCAGUAGGGCAAAAGAUACUGCAAAGCUAGAGUAUGACAGAGGCAAGUGGAACUACAUGUGUAGCGGUAAAAUGCGUAAAUAUAUGUAAGAACACCAGUGGCGAAGGCGGCUUGCUGGGUCGAUACUGACAUUGAGGCACGAAAGCGUGGGGAGCAAACAGGAUUAGAUACCCUUGUAGUC
rnacentral:rRNA from 1 species